CACGUAGGAGGCGAGCGUUGUCCGGAAUCAUUGGGCGUAAAGAGCGCGCAGGCGGCUUGGCAAGUCGGGUGUGAAAUCCCGAGGCUCAACCUCGGGUCUGCAGUCGAUACGAGCAAACUAGAGUGUUGCAGGGGAGACUGGAAUUCCUGGUGUAGCGGUGAAAUGCGCAGAUAUCAGGAGGAACACCGGUGGCGAAGGCGGGUCUCUGGGCCGAUACUGACGCUGGAGGAGCGAAAGCGUGGGGAGCGAACAGG
rnacentral:rRNA from 1 species